GAUAGUUCUCGCUCAAGACACAUGAUUGGAGACAAAGAAAAAUUCUCAAACCUUACCUUGAAAAGUGGUGGACAUGUGAGAUUUGGUGACAAAGGCAAAGCUUACAUCAUUGACAGUGGCUCCAUUGGGAAGAAUCCAAGCAUAAAGAUGUUGCACUAGUUGAAGGUUUGAAAUUCAAUCUUCUUAGUGUAAGUCAACUAUGUGAUAAAGGUUACAAAGUUAUUUUUAAUUCUUCAAAUUGUGAGAUUAGAAGUUUGGAUGAUGAUCAUGCAUUGUUCAUUGCAUCUAGAAGUGAAAUGGUAUAUUUGCUUGAUUUGAAUGAUAUUGAACAUGGAAAUGAAAGGUGCCUUGUGUCUCUUAAAGAA
rnacentral:misc_RNA from 1 species